UUGUCUCAAAGAUUAAGCCAUGCAUGUCUCAGUACAAGCCAUAUUAAGGUGAAACCGCGAAAGGCUCAUUAAAUCAGUUAUGGUUCCUUAGAUCGUACCCACAUUUACUUGGAUAACUGUGGUAAUUCUAGAGCUAAUACAUGCAAACAGAGCUCCGACCGGAGACGGAAGGAGCGCUUUUAUUAGAUCAAAACCAAUCGGUGGCGGGUUUUCGCUCGUCAUCGUACAACUUGGUGACUCUGAAUAACUUUACGCUGAUCGCAUGGUCUAGCACCGGCGACGCAUCUUUCAAAUGUCUGCCUUAUCAACUGUCGAUGGUAGGUUCUGCGCCUACCAUGGUUGUAACGGGUAACGGGGAAUCAGGGUUCGAUUCCGGAGAGGGAGCCUGAGAAACGGCUACCACAUCCAAGGAAGGCAGCAGGCGCGCAAAUUACCCACUCCCGGCACGGGGAGGUAGUGACGAAAAAUAACGAUACGGGACUCUUCCGAGGCCCCGUAAUCGGAAUGAGUACACUCUAAACCCUUUAACGAGGAUCAAUUGGAGGGCAAGUCUGGUGCCAGCAGCCGCGGUAAUUCCAGCUCCAAUAGCGUAUAUUAAAGUUGUUGCGGUUAAAAAGCUCGUAGUCGAAUUUGUGUCCCGCGCCGCCGGUUCAUCGCACGCGGUGUUAACUGGCGUGCCGCGGGACGUCCUGCCGGUGGACUUAGCCUUCGCGGGCGGUCCAACUCAAUCCCACCACGGUGCUCUUUACUGAGUGUCGAGGUGGGCCGGCACGUUUACUUUGAACAAAUUAGAGUGCUCAAAGCAGGCUAAAACUUCGCCUGAAUACGUGUGCAUGGAAUAAUGGAAUAGGAUCUCGGUUCUAUUUUGUUGGUUUUCGGAACCCCGAGGUAAUGAUUAAUAGGAACGGAUGGGGGCAUUCGUAUUGCGACGUUAGAGGUGAAAUUCUUGGAUCGUCGCAAGACGAACAGAAGCGAAAGCAUUUGCCAAAAACGCUUUCAUUGAUCAAGAACGAAAGUUAGAGGUUCGAAGGCGAUCAGAUACCGCCCUAGUUCUAACCAUAAACGAUGCCAGCUAGCGAUCCGCCGACGUUCCUCCGAUGACUCGGCGGGCAGCUUCCGGGAAACCAAAGCUUUUGGGUUCCGGGGGAAGUAUGGUUGCAAAGCUGAAACUUAAAGGAAUUGACGGAAGGGCACCACCAGGAGUGGAGCCUGCGGCUUAAUUUGACUCAACACGGGAAACCUCACCAGGCCCGGACACCGGAAGGAUUGACAGAUUGAGAGCUCUUUCUUGAUUCGGUGGGUGGUGGUGCAUGGCCGU
rnacentral:rRNA from 1 species